rnacentral:snoRNA from 1 species
UGCUAGGAUUGUGCUAGAUUUCUUGAAGUGGGUCUGCAGGUCUUGGUUCAGCAGUAGGGGUGAUCAGUGACCCUAUUGGUGCCCAGAUCAGAAAUAUGC